rnacentral:lncRNA from 1 species
UACAGCUGAAGCUCAAGAUAGUGGAAAAAGACAACAGGAAGCUGAAGGAAACAGAAAAGGCCUCCUCUCAGGAAGUAGUCACACCUGAAUUGCUUUGCUUAAGGAAGCAAAGCCAAGACCUGGUGGAUGAGAACGAGGGCCUGAAGAUGAUUAUCCAUCGCCUGAAUGUAGAACUCAGUCGCUACCAGACAAAAUUCCGGCCUUUGUCUGAGGAAGAGAGUUCCUAUAUUGAAGGCCUCCCAUCUAAGGGCCCCACACCCCCCUGGUUGGUGGAUAUAAAGUACCUCUCACCCCUGUUGCUGGCAAAGCAGCCCAGUACCAGAAGGAGGUGAAGCACCUGCACCACAUGCUGCAGAGGAAGCAGGAGGUCCUGGAUGAGGCACUGCAGCAGAAAAGAAAUAUGGAAGGUGAGCUUGAAAUGGUCCUGGAGUCCACUGCCAAGGAGAACAGACGGAUGCGGGGCCUUCUCCAGGCCGCCCUGCAGAGGAAAGGCAUACAGUGCGCCACAGCUCCUCAAGACACUUGCUUGAGCCGCCUCUCUCAGGGAGACCUGCUAAUUGGCCAUGAUUUCAGCUAUGGUGACGUGCAGCUUCCUGCUACCAGAGUCUGCCAGAGUCUGGGGGAGUCUGUGGCAUAGAUCUCCUGUCUGAGGUGUCUGCCUCCUGCAGGCUGGUGGGUGACUUCUCUCCCCAUGCGGGCCAAUGUGACAAGGAGGCCCAUGGAAGCCACUGAGUGUCACAGGCAAGAAUGAAAUAAACCUGCCCAGGCAUC